UACGUAGGGUGCAAGCGUUAAUCGGAAUUACUGGGCGUAAAGCGUGCGCAGGCGGUUUUGUAAGUCUGUCGUGAAAUCCCCGGGCUCAACCUGGGAAUUGCGAUGGAGACUGCAAGGCUAGAAUCUGGCAGAGGGGGGGUAGAAUUCCACGUGUAGCAGUGAAAUGCGUAGAGAUGUGGAGGAACACCGAUGGCGAAGGCAGCCCCCCUGGGUCAAGAUUGACGCUCAUGCACGAAAGGCGUGGGGAGCAAACAGG
rnacentral:rRNA from 1 species